AGGGGCAAAUGUGGUAGCAAGAAGUAUAGUCAGGAGACUGAAGAAAUCCACUUAAGAGUUGAUGAUGAAUUCAAAGAAUGCUGUUGAGAAGGAACCAAAAGGACUUGAGGCUGCUGGAAUGCAGGUGCAAGCUUGAAGGAACAAAUGGAAACCAGAGUCAUCAUAAAGUUUUGAUGCUAACCUCUAAUGGAAUGUGCUGCCUUUUGGUAUGAGAACUUCAAAGAAUGGAAAUGUUGAUUACGUGACUUGCAGAGAGGCUAAGAAGAACAAAAGAAGAAAGAAAUAUUCAUUUAACUCGUCCAAAAAAGCAAUGCAACCUUAUCAGAAAAGGACUGAAGGAGAACCAUAUUCAAGGUGCAUAAUCACUCAUGAAUACAAAGACCAAUUCUAUAAAGAAGUUUAUAAGUUUAAGUGAUGGAAAAUUAGAUGAAGAACAUUCCAAAAUCCAGGAAAAAAAUUACACGAUUUCUACUUGUGAGAGAAAUUUUUCCAAAGAGAAGGA